AAUCACCUUACCAUUAGUACUCAGAUUUGGCUCAAACGUCGACCAACUAAUGCCGACAGUACAGUCUAUAACUGAAUCAUAAGUCUUUCCAGACGGGCUCUUCAAGCUGGCCCCUUCGGGGGUCUGGUAGUCGAGCACCUCAUCAGCACCCAUAUCCUUCACAAAGUCUAUGUUUCGGGCUCCGCAUGUGGCCGUCACAUGA
rnacentral:misc_RNA from 1 species